rnacentral:rRNA from 1 species
GUGUCAGCCGCCGCGGUAAGACGAAGGAUGCAAGCGUUAUCCGGAUUCAUUGGGUUUAAAGGGUGCGUAGGCGGUCUAUUAAGUCAGUGGUGAAAGCCGAUAGCUUAACUAUCGAAUUGCCAUUGAUACUGGUAGACUUGAGUACAGAUGCUGUGGGCGGAAUAUGACAUGUAGUGGUGAAAUACAUAGAGAUGUCAUAGAACACCGAUUGCGAAGGCAGCUCACAAAACUGUAACUGACGCUGAGGCACGAAAGUGUGGGGAUCAAACAGGAUUAGAAACCCUUGUAGUCC